rnacentral:rRNA from 1 species
UACGGAGGGUGCUAGCGUUGUUCGGAAUUACUGGGCGUAAAGGGCGCGUAGGCGGGAUGGCAAGUCGGUCGUGAAAUCCCUCGGCUCAACCGAGGAACGUCGAUCGAUACUGCUGUUCUUGAGGAUUGCAGAGGAGACUGGAAUUCCCGGUGUAGCGGUGAAAUGCGUAGAUAUCGGGAGGAACAUCAGUGGCGAAGGCGGCUAUCUGGACUAACACUGACACUGAGACUCGAAAGCGUGGGGAGCAAACAGG